rnacentral:rRNA from 1 species
AGAGUUUGAUCAUGGCUCAGAUUGAACGCUGGCGGCAUGCCUUACACAUGCAAGUCGAACGGCAGCAUGAUCUAGCUUGCUAGAUUGAUGGCGAGUGGCGAACGGGUGAGUAAUACAUCGGAACGUGCCCUGUAGUGGGGGAUAACUAGUCGAAAGAUUAGCUAAUACCGCAUACGACCUGAGGGUGAAAGUGGGGGACCGCAAGGCCUCAUGCUAUAGGAGCGGCCGAUGUCUGAUUAGCUAGUUGGUGAGGUAAAGGCUCACCAAGGCGACGAUCAGUAGCUGGUCUGAGAGGACGAUCAGCCACACUGGGACUGAGACACGGCCCAGACUCCUACGGGAGGCAGCAGUGGGGAAUUUUGGACAAUGGGCGAAAGCCUGAUCCAGCAAUGCCGCGUGUGUGAAGAAGGCCUUCGGGUUGUAAAGCACUUUUGUCCGGAAAGAAAUGGCUCUGGUUAAUACCUGGGGUCGAUGACGGUACCGGAAGAAUAAGGACCGGCUAACUACGUGCCAGCAGCCGCGGUAAUACGUAGGGUCCAAGCGUUAAUCGGAAUUACUGGGCGUAAAGCGUGCGCAGGCGGUUGUGCAAGACCGAUGUGAAAUCCCCGAGCUUAACUUGGGAAUUGCAUUGGUGACUGCACGGCUAGAGUGUGUCAGAGGGGGGUAGAAUUCCACGUGUAGCAGUGAAAUGCGUAGAGAUGUGGAGGAAUACCGAUGGCGAAGGCAGCCCCCUGGGAUAACACUGACGCUCAUGCACGAAAGCGUGGGGAGCAAACAGGAUUAGAUACCCUGGUAGUCCACGCCCUAAACGAUGUCAACUAGUUGUUGGGGAUUCAUUUCCUUAGUAACGUAGCUAACGCGUGAAGUUGACCGCCUGGGGAGUACGGUCGCAAGAUUAAAACUCAAAGGAAUUGACGG